rnacentral:rRNA from 1 species
CAUCAAAACUUUUCAGCUAGGGUUUGAUAGAGGAAAGCAGAAUUUCUAGUGUAGAGGUGAAAUUCGUAGAUAUUAGAAAGAAUACCAAUUGCGAAGGCAGCUUUCUGGAUCAUUACUGACACUGAGGAACGAAAGCAUGGGUAGCGAAGAGGAUUAGAUACCCUCGUAGUCCAUGCCGUAAACGAUGUGUGUUAGACGUUGGAAAUUUAUUUUCAGUGUCGCAGCGAAAGCGAUAAACACACCGCCUGGGGAGUACGACCGCAAGGUUAAAACUCAAAUGAAUUGACGGGGACCCGCACAAGUAGUGGAGCAUGUGGUUUAAUUCGAAGAUACGCGCAGAACCUUACCAACACUUGACAUGUUCGUCGCGACUUUAAGAGAUUAAAGUUUUCGGUUCGGCCGGACGAAACACAGGUGCUGCAUGGCUGUCGUCAGCUCGUGUCGUGAGAUGUUGGGUUAAGUCCCGCAACGAGCGCAACCCUCACUUUUAGUUGCCAUCAUUAAGUUGGGCACUCUGAAAGAACUGCCAGUGAUAAGCUGGAGGAAGGUGGGGAUGACGUCAAGUCCUCAUGGCCCUUACGUGUUGGGCUACACACGUGCUACAAUGGUAUCUACAACAGGAAGCAAAACAGCGAUGUUAAGCAAAUCCUUAAAAGAUACCUCAGUUCGGAUUGCACUCUGCAACUCGAGUGCAUGAAGCUGGAAUUGCUAGUAAUCGUGGAUCAGCGUGCCACGGUGAAUGCGUUCCCGGGUCUUGUACACACCGCCCGUCACACCAUGGGAGUUGGUUCUACCUUAAGGCAAGGUUUUAAACCCUUGACCACGGUAUAGUCAGCGACUGGGGUGAAGUCGUAACAAGGU